AUACGGAGGAUGCGAGCGUUAUCCGGAUUUAUUGGGUUUAAAGGGAGCGUAGGCGGGAGCUUAAGUCAGCGGUUAAAUGGUGCGGCUCAACCGUGCCCUGCCGUUGAAACUUGGUUUCUUGAGAGUGCAAGAGGCGGAUGGAAUUCAUGGUGUAGCGGUGAAAUGCUUAGAUAUCAUGAAGAACUCCGAUUGCGAAGGCAGUCCGCUGGGGCACGUCUGACGCUGAUGCUCGAAGGUGCGGGAAUCAAACAGGAUUAGAUACCCUGGUAGUCCGCACGGUAAACGAUGAUUACCCGCUGUCGGCGGCAGACAGUCGGCGGCCAAGCGAAAGCGAUAAGUAACCCACCUGGGGAGUACGCCGGCAACGGUGAAACUCAAAUGAAUUGACGGGG
rnacentral:rRNA from 1 species